rnacentral:tRNA from 1 species
AGCAAGAUGACUGAAAGACUAAGUAAUAGAUUGUAAAUCUAAACAAAAAGGUUAAAUUCCUUUUCUUGCUA